CAAUAGCGUAUAUUAACGUUGUUGCAGUUAAAAAGCUCGUAGUUGGAUUUCUGGAGGGAGCGUCGGCCCGUAUUUACGAGUGCGUGACGUCUCUGUCCAUCCUUGCGGGAAGGCACGGCAUUGAUUUGUUGUGUCGGAUCGCAUCAUUUACUGUGAAAAAAUUAGAGUGUUCAAAGCAGGCUUUCGCUUGAAUACAUUAGCAUGGAAUAAUAAGAGAGGACUUUGGUGCUAUUUUGUUGGUUGAGCCUAAAGUAAUGAUUAAUAGGGAUAGUUGGGGGCACCUGUAUUGCGUUGUCAGAGGUGAAAUUCUUGGAUUUACGCAAGACAAACAGCUGCGAAAGCGUCUGCCAAGGAUGUUUUCAUUAA
rnacentral:rRNA from 1 species